ACAUUUCCUCCUCUCUGGGGUAAGAUAUACGUGGUUGCUUACUGUUGUUGUUUUUUUUUCCUGCUUAAAAUA